UCUUUGCUAGUAUAUCGGUUAGUACACGCGCCUGUCAUUCAUCGACGCUCGUCCGCGCGUAAGCUGGGUUCGACUCCCAGGCAAAGAG